GUUCCAGACAACGUAAGCGGCGCCGAUACGUUGCAGAGACCUCAGUUGCAAUGUUUUGUUAAGCGUUCUUUCGUGAGUUGUGUGCCGAUGUAACGGGCGAGGCUUUAGUGGGAAGCAAACAAACUGCAGAAGAAGGGGAACGCGUGCGACAAGUUUGCAUCUGCGCCUGCGAACACUUGUUGCACAUUGCUCACUGGUUGGAGCGAAUAGUUCCGAAACUCAAGUCACGAUAAUUGUAAUAUGAGCCUUUUCUCCCGGCAGAUAACUAUUUCGUGAUAAGUGUUCGUGUGAAACGUGGUGACAAAGGAGUGUGUCGAACGAUAACUUAGAAUAAGGCGCCAGUUCCUUAUAAAUUAUCUACACAAUGCCUCGAUACUGAUCUGCAAGAAGACAACGCCAAGUCAACACUGCGUCUUCAAAGUCCACGUCAAAAGAUGCUUGUUUAGCGUACGCACGAUGACGACAGGCUCUGCCCCGUCGACGGGACCGCUGGGCUGCAGCGGCGAGGUGGAGGGGCUGAAGACGCACAUCUCAACGGCUUUUGGUGGGGUGCUGCACCGAGCCGCCAGUAACCAGCUCGAGAGGGGACUCGACCCAGGUGGGUCGACCCACCUCACCGGCCUAAAACGACUGAUGCCGGGCCAGCGGCAGGAGCGGACGGCACACGACCCCGCGCCCACC